AAGAGUAGGUAGAGACGAGCACCUCCAAGCAUCUUUACUGAGCCCGUGCUGAAGAACUCAGUAAUGGGUGGGAUGCAAUGAUGCUGAAGAGGCGGCUGAAUGGAAAGCAUCCGUCCAGUCUGCUUACAGUAGCAUUCCUGCAAAGGAAAAUGUUCCUCCACCACUGGACUCCAUACAAGCAUGGAUGGGACACUCAAUGUAACUGAGGCAACUUCGUUCUCUUGACGGUCCUGCAGAGCACCUAGAGAGAGAAGACUUCGCAGCGUUUCUCCUGGCGGGAGCCGCUGACCACCCAACUUCAAGAAUGCCUGUCUUGGAGCAAGGAAAACCAACAGGCCGGAGGGACAGCUAUGUGUUGCCCAAGCUGCCAGUGCCAUCUUUAGAACAGACUCUGGACAUGUACCUGAAGUGUAUGAAACACCUAGUGACUGAAGAGCAAUUCAGAAGGACCAAAGCCAUCGUGGAGAAGUUUGGGGCACCAGGAGGCAUUGGAGAACUAUUACAAACAAAGCUGCAAGAGAAGAGGGACAAAACUGAUAACUGGGUGUAUGAUUACUGGCUGGAAGAUAUGUACCUGAAUAACAGAUUGGCCCUACCUGUCAACUCCAGCCCUGCUAUGGUCUUCCCUCCACAGAACUUCAGGGAUCGAGGUGAUCUUCUCAGGUUUGCUGCUAAUCUCAUUUCAGGAGUGUUGGAUUAUAAAGGUCUACUUGAUGCACAUGCCCUGCCUGAAGACUAUGCUCGAGGCCAGCUGGCUGGGACUCCGCUGUGCAUGGAGCAGUAUUACCGACUCUUCUCCUCUUAUCGACUGCCUGGACAGAAGAAGGAUACCCUGGUUGCCCAGAAGAGCAGUGUCAUGCCAGAGCCUGAACACAUCAUUGUUGCUUGUAAAAAUCAGUUUUUCGUUCUAGAUGUAGUAAUAAACUUCCGGCGACUCAAUGAGAAAGACCUGCUCACCCAGCUGGAGAAGAUCCUGAAGAUGGCCGAGGACGAAGACGAGCGCCUGCCUCCGAUCGGACUGCUGAGUGCAGAUGGGAGGACGGAGUGGGCGGAAGCGCGGAGCGCGCUCAUGAAGGAUUCCACCAACAGAGACUCUCUUGACAUGAUUGAGAGAUGUAUCUGCCUGGUGUGUCUGGAUGACCCCACUGGGAAUGAACUCACUGAUACCAAUCGAGCUUUGCAAAUGCUGCAUGGAGGAGGAUAUGACAAGAACAGUGGGAAUCGCUGGUACGACAAGCCGAUGCAGUUUGUCAUAGGAAUGGAUGGCUCCUGUGGUGUUGUAUGUGAGCACUCCCCAUUCGAAGGAAUAGUGCUUGUGCAGUGCACUGAGUACCUGCUCAAGUACAUGAAAAGCAGUCCUUCAAAGCUGGUCAGAGCGGCAAGUGUCAGUGAACUUCCUGCUCCAAGGAGAUUACGCUGGAAAUGUUCCCCAGAAGUCCAGGGGCUCUUAGCAUCAUCAGCAGACAAACUUCAAAGGUUGGUGAGAAACCUGGACCUGAAUGCAUAUACAUUUAAGGUUUAUGGCAAAGAAUACAUAAAGAAACAGAAAAUGAGCCCAGACGCUUAUAUUCAGGUUGCUCUGCAGCUAGCAUUUUACAGAUGUCAUGGAAAGCAAGUGUCAACCUAUGAAAGUGCUUCCAUACGCCGUUUCCGAGAGGGACGAGUGGACAACAUCCGUUCUGCUACCGCCGAAGCCCUAGUGUUUGUGAAAGCAAUGACUGAUGGGAAGACGUCUGUCCCUGAUUCUGAUAAGAUGCAGAGACUGUGGGAUGCAAUUAGCACACAAACCAAUUAUACUAUCCUUGCUAUUACUGGGAUGGCAAUAGACAAUCAUUUACUUGGACUGCGAGAGGUUGCUCAGGAACUGAAAAUGGAAAAACCAGAGAUAUUCAUUGAUGAAACCUAUUUAAUAAGCAAUCGCUUCAUCCUCUCAACUAGUCAAGUUCCCACCUCUGUCCAGAUGUUCUGCUGUUAUGGUCCUGUGGUUCCCAAUGGCUACGGCGUAUGUUACAACCCCCAGUCAGACCACAUUAUCUUCUGCGUUUCCAGUUUCAAGGACUGUAAGGAAACCUGCUCCACCAAGUUUGUCAGGGCCCUGGAAGAGAGUCUGGUUGAGGUGAGGGACCUGUGCAGUAAGUAUAACAAAGCAGCCAAGCCCACCAGUCUGAAGGAAGGAGCUGCAAAACCUGUUAAAAAUGGAAGCAAGCCAUAAUAUUAAGCAAUACUAAGGGAUGAUCUGUUCAUUUUUCGGUUCACGGAUACUGCAGAUCAUUCACGAGUAUCAAGCUAAAAUGUCAACAAGUAAAAGGUCGCUCUUUAUAUUUCCUCAUUAACGCAACAUACAUUUUAAGUAGUAAACCUAAUCCCCUCUUUAUUGUGGGGCAUUCAUCAUAUUUUAAAACAUAUAGUAUAUUUAAUAUUGUGAGAAAUAUAUUUAUCUAGCUAUAGGUUAUUUUAUUACACAUGUGAUUAAAAGUUUAACUGAUGCAACAGAGGUAGUUUUGCUGUAUUAUCACCAUUCAAAAAGUGUCCAGCACAGCAGGAUCUGUGUCAACAUUUCCAUGACCUGGAUGUGAGCCCAGGGCACAAAUGAUGGAAGAAACCCAUUCAAAUUCACGGCGGGCGUUUGUGUGAGCAGGGGCAGGGAAAUCAGUGUUGUCAACUUUGACUUCCAGCAGGACUGGAUGCAAAGGCACAACAAUGUUUAACACCAAUAAUAAUUGUAAUGAAUGAGUCGUUCCCUGUAUUUAUUGUACAUACCGCUUUGCAUCCCUGACAGUCCCACAGCGCUUCGCUUUCCAAACUCUAUCUGCCACUGUAGUGUCGCCCCACCUUGGUGUGGCCCUCUACCGCAGAUGAGGAGGAGAAACGAGAGAUUAUCCUCAGAUGAAUUAAGUGAGGCCAGAUUGUGCAAACCCAAGUGGGAAUUAACCAUGGCACUGUGGUAACACCCCUACACUUGCAAAAUGUGCUAUGGGAUCUUUCAUGACCAGGUGGUCAAGACCUCAGUUUAAUGCAUCAUACGAAGAACAGCGUUUCCCGUAGGGUAACGUCCUCACUCACCAUUCUUCUGGGGCCAGAGCCCUUUGGAUCACUUCCCCCCGCUGCCUUAAGUAAAGUAUGGAUCAAUUAUUCUGUUAGGAUAUGUUAGAGUAUGUGAUGUGAAACUGAGGUCUUGACUACCUGGUCGUUGAAGAGCUUCUCGGCUUGUUUGUACAGUACCUAGUUUACAUCUAACUGGGGAAGGUCAUGCCAGAUUGUCUGUGGAUCUGCUAUUAUGAGAACAUUUAAAUCUGCAGGUGGGCAUGUUAGGUUUCCUGACACACGUCCUGAUUAAUGCAGGGGGGUUCUUACGAAUUCAGUUCAAGAUCAAUAAUAAAAUCUUAAAUGUCGUUUCAUCCCUCAUGCUCGGUAAAGUGAUUAUCUGUGGUUAGUUACCAACACAUUUUUUGGAAUACAUUUACUGUAACUUGUGCUGUUUUCAUCAUUUUCCCGAAAUUUUAAUGUGAAAAACAAAUUCUGUCAAUAUUUUAAAAAUGAAAGCAUAAAUAUAGUAUAUUAUACAGAAACUGAAAAGCGCUAUGCACCCAUUUUCAAAAACACAGACAUGUUUGUCAGCAGUUUCUGUUUUAGAAUCAAGUCCCUUGUAAAAUAAUUAGUGCUCCACUAGUUAUAACAGAAAAAAAUUAGGUUACCAAAGAAUACAGAAUAUACUGUAUUAUCAAUAGGGUAAGAGCCAAUAGGAGAUAUACAUUGCACUUUUAUGUACAGUAACAUAGAAUUGUAAAUAUUGUCUGAGAAAGUUAAAUAAAAAAGAAUGUAAUAUGUGAACUUUAAAUGAAAGUAUUGCUUAUCAACAUAUUUAUGAAGUAAACUCUAUAUACUGUUUGUGUCCUAUAAUUGAUAUUCUGUGAGUCCUCCAUACAUAAAACAUUUUUAAUUAACAUAGAAUAAUUAUUACCUCAUGGAGCCACUGUUAAGCAUGAAAUAGAACUUAAUUCAUGGCAAUAUUAAUUUUAUAUGCAUAAUUUAAAUAAGUAUCUGCACUAAAUUCCUUUUGUAUGUAGUGGUGUGAGUUCCACUUUCAAUAAUUACAUGUUACACUUGAAAUAGAAUGUAUUUUAAGUUUUAUAUACUGUAUUGUGUUUCAAUAGUAGUGUCUUGUGCAAUAGUGAGAACAACAGCUGAAAUGAAAAAGGUGAAAAACAAACUAUACAUUAAAUUUGUAAAAUAUUUUACUUUCUAAGAGAUAAGAAUAGUGUGAAUUCACUAAAUGUGUAUUGGGUAUAGAGAUUUGUUGAAUGAGACCGUGUACAUGAAUGUGUGUCAUAUUUCUAUAUAUAUACACAGUACAUAUUAUACACCUAUGCAAUAUAUAAGAAAACAUAAAUAAACUGAGAACAAUAUGUAAACUAAGUAUGGCAGUAUAAAUGCUAAGCCAAUGAAUUCAACUUCUAACUUUUUGUGCAAACAGUUUUUAGCACACAACAUAAUCUGUAUUGUAUUCAUCACUGUGCUGGCAAAUAGCUCACAAAUCUUGGAUUUAUGUAACGUCUACAUUUUAUAACUCAGUUACAUUAAGGAGUAGAAUGACAAAGCUUGUUUUAUAUUUUUUGUUUAUAUUAUAUGUUUUAUUUUAUGCCUAAAUGUCAUCUAGAUAAAAUAUGUUUAGUGGAUUAAUAAGGGUUUAUUACUAGUACUUGUAUUUUAUUCCUUAAGUGGUUUAAAAUGUUAUUAGUUUUAAAAUUCAUUUAUUACUAGCAACUAUAAUAACCAGAAUUACUGAAAGAUUUUACCAUGCAAGUCAUGUUUAAAAUGUUUCUGUUUAAAGGAGGUGUGUGGCAGACAAAGUAAAAUUACAGACAAAGUAAAUAUAUUACUAUAAUAUAUCUCUGUUAUUAAUAGGGUGACUUUAUGCUCACAAGGACACUUUGAGACAGGGUGGGAAAUUGAAAAUUAGUGAUUAAUUUUGAUCACCAGUUUCACUAUUCCUGCUAGUAGUCAGAUGGUGUGAACAACUGAACAAUGUUACUGAUUUCUUUGAAAGCAUCAUUUCCAGUCAGGUUUUAUUGAUCAGGAUUGCCAUUUUACUGGACACAGGCAUUAAGCAGCAAUUUUCUUCUUAGGAAAGAGUAAUGCCGAAUUUAAUUUAAUUAAGGUCUUACACUUUAGGUGCAGUUUUAAUUACUGUCCUACGUGUCCUGGGGAACAUGGAGUUAUGUAGUUUUCCUAGUUCUCAGCCACAUUAGAACCUAUUGUAUAACAAAGUGUAAACAAAUGCCCAGUAUCCACUGAAAUAUCCAGAAAGCUACUGUACUUGCAACAAAAUGUAUUGUCUUAAUUCCAAAACACAUAGAAUGAAUAGUAAAAAAUUGAAAAUAGGUUUUAUUUACUUCUAAUUCCCAGACCCUUGCACAUAUCUUAAAAAAUAUGUACAAACAUCACAUGGAGAGAGAAAAAGAUCAGAAGAAAAUAGAUCACUAUUUUGUGCAAAUCAGAGGGCUACUCAGUCAACUGCAGUAUACUGUAUGAAUAUAACGAAUGCUCCCAUUGUUAUAUCUGCCCAACUACGUCAUAAAUAAUUAACAUAGUGUCUGAAGUGAAAGGGACUGUCCCUGUAAUGCAGUGGAAUGGAGAGCCCACAGGGUGAACAGCCCUGAUUUUAAUUGGCAAAUUUUACUAACUCAGUGCUAUAUACACACAGUUUUGCUGCUACUGUAUGUGGGUGUGGGAGUUAUGGUUAGCUUUAUAACAGCAGAAUGCAGGGCUGUAAUUGUUAUAGUUGCUUCUCACAUUUUGCCCAAUUCAAUGAUGAGAUGAUGAGAGAUAAACUUUCACCCCCAAUAAUUUGUACUUUUGUACAAAAGCGGGAAAAGAGCAGUCAGUAAAAGAUCUCUACAGCACCUGAGCAGCACACUGCACAUCAUUUAAGUUUCAACAUGCUAUAGGCCGAUAUAAUAGUGAUAUGUACUGUAAAACAUCUCCAGGAUCCCCUGACCAACACCCUCUGCCAAUAUACACACAUCCUUCUCCAGAAAAUGACAUUUAUAGCACAACCACCAGCACCACAUGAAGUCUACUACAGGUCAACCUGAAGGCUUUGAACAACUAGGCUUAAACAAUUGGAAUUGUGAAGAUAUUUACAUAUUUGUAACUGGGGGGCAUGUGUGAAGAUGCUGAAAGCAUCACCUCUAUCUUCCUACUGCUGGGGGUGAAAUCUGGAUGCUUGAACGAACAAAAAAAUUGCUUGACUUAAUAGAAGUUUGUCUUUCCAAGGCAACAAAGUCAGUAAUAUUAAUUUAGCCCGCUGCUUAGAUCCACUGGGAUCCAUUUAAAUUGAACUUAUUUUCACAAUUAUUUAUUUGUAAGGAGCCGAGUAAUAACCCAGUUAUAAUCCAGUUAAUAAUCCAUAAUGUUUCAAAUUAAUGAAAUACUGUAUUUCACGUAUUUGUAAACUUUAGUUCACUCUAACAUGAUAUUUUUGCUACAUUUUAUUUUUUUACUGUAGAUGACAUGAACUGAAGGCUGUAUUUUAGUAAGAAAAGUAUGUGAAAGUAAUGUUCUUUGUACUGUAUGUUUUAUGGCAAAUAUUGUCUGAAAUAUUAGAUAUUAUAUAUUGUUAUGUGGUGGUCUUAAAAUAUUACUGUACUGUAAAAAUAAACAAUGAAGA